GUUAUAGGGACAAGCGAAUAAGUGCACAUGGUGGAUGCCUUGGCGAUUACAGGCGAUGAAGGACGUAGUAGCUUGCGAUAAGCUGCGGGGAGUGAGCAAACACACUUUGAUCCGCAGAUUUCCGAAUGGGGCAACCCACCCUUUUAGGGUAUUGCAUACUGAAUACAUAGGUAUGCAAGGCGAACGCGGCGAACUGAAACAUCUAAGUAGCUGCAGGAAAAGAAAUCAACCGAGAUUCCCAAAGUAGCGGCGAGCGAAAUGGGAAGAGCCUGUACGUGAUAGUCGGACCGAUAACAGAAUCCUCUGGAAAUAGGAGCCAUAGCGGGUGAUAGCCCCGUAUGUGAAAUCGGACCGGUGGUACUAAGCGUACGACAAGUAGGGCGGGACACGUGACAUCCUGUCUGAAUAUGGGGGGACCAUCCUCCAAGGCUAAAUACUCGUAAUCGACCGAUAGUGAACCAGUACCGUGAGGGAAAGGCGAAAAGAACCCCGGAAGGGGAGUGAAAUAGAUCCUGAAACCGUGUGCAUACAAACAGUAGGAGCGGACUUGUUCCGUGACUGCGUACCUUUUGUAUAAUGGGUCAGCGACUUACAUUCAGUGGCAAGGUUAACCGAAUAGGGAAGCCGUAGAGAAAUCGAGUCCGAAUAGGGCGAUCAGUCGCUGGGUGUAGACCCGAAACCAAGUGAUCUACUCAUGGCCAGGAUGAAGGUGCGGUAACACGCCCUGGAGGUCCGAACCCAC
rnacentral:rRNA from 1 species